rnacentral:lncRNA from 1 species
GUUGGUUGUGGUUGUAAGGAAGCGCAGGUUGGAAGGAGCAUCGAUGGCUGUGGAGGCAUCAAUCACUACCGGAGAGCUGCGGGCAUUCUCAUUCAGGGUGUAAAGGUAGAUCUUGUAGUCAUUGCCAGGUUGCAAGCCAGUGAUAGUGUAAGUCCUAACAUCGGGGCUGAUGGUCCUCUGGAUGGGAUUCUGGCCACUUGCUGCUGGGAUGGCAUCAAUUUGGAAGCCAGUGAUUGUCUCAGUCUUGGUUCUCCAGGUAAUGGUGAUGGUUGUCUCUGUGGCAUCUGUCACGCGGGCCCUGCGAGGGGGACUGACAUUUUCAAGAGUGGUCACCACCCCCUGGGCAGGUCGGCUGGUCAGGGAGUCCUUCAGGGCAUACACACUCACUUCAUACUUGGUUGCCACCAUUAAUCCCGACACGACAGCAGAUGUGCUGUCCGGAGAAAGGUUGAUCUCUUUCAUCGGACCGGUCUUCUCUUUGGGGUUCACUCUGACCCUGUAGCCAGUGAGACGAACGUUUGGCGCAUUCCAGUUGACGGUAAGACUGGUAGGAGUUACCUGAGUGAACUUCAGGUUGGUCGGAGGUGGAAUUGCUGUGGACUGGGUCCCAGUGAGGGGCAGGCUCUCCAUGUCAUCGUAUAUGGCAACGAUAUUGAUAGUGUACUCAGAACCUGGCCUGAGGCCAUGCAGCUCAGCAGUGUCUUCUUCGCCACCUGGGGCCGGCAAUAGCUCAUGGAUUCCAUCCUCAGGGCUUGAGUAGGUCACCCUGUACCUGGUGACUUGCCCCUGCGGGCUUUCCCAAGCAAUUUUGAUGGAAUCAACAUCCACCUCAGUGAAUGUUAGUCCUUUAGGGCGGUCAAUGUUGGUGACAGCCGUCUCGACCAAGGGGAGGCUCUCUCCAUUCUGAUUCUGAGCAUAGACGCUGACCAUAUACUCAACUGUGGGCUGCAGGCCUUCAAUAGUGACUUGUGUUUGAUCUGGAGGGACAUUCUUAGUUUUUGUGGGUCCAUGUCCUUUCUUGGGGACAGCUGUCACCCGAUACCCUGUGACUGGGGAUGAUGAAGGGAGCCAUCUGAUGCUGAUGCUGUUGUCCUGGACAUCGGUAACUUGCAUCUGGGAUGGCGUGUCUAUUUCUGUUUUGUAGGUGACAGUAACUGGCUUGCUGCUGGCAGGGCUGUCUCCACGACCAGUUACAGCAUACACAGUGAUGGUGUAGUCCACACCGGGUUUGAGGCCAGUGAUGGUAGCACGAGACAUGGUGCCAGGCACUGUAAACUCCUGCACAGGGCUACUUCCACCUGUUUCACCAUAAGUGAUCCGGUAGUAUCUGACUGUCACUGCAGGAGCAUCCCAAGAGAUCUCGAGGCUGGUUGGGCUGGUGGGGUUGACUUCCAGGUCCCUUGGAACAUCUGACACGGUUGUCUGCUGGCCAACCAAGGGCACGCUCUCCUCCCUGCCGUUGACGGCGAUGAUGCUGACCACAUACUCAGUUCCUGGGAGCAGGUUGGUGAGAGUGAUGGAGUUUCGUGAGGGGGGCACACGGUCCUCCUUGGGCCUGCCAACACCGUGCUCUGGGUGAUGCCGAAUCUUAUAGCCCGUAAUGGUGGCACGAGGAGCAAUCCAGUGGACAGUGAAGGAGUUAGCAGUUAUAUCCGAGAAGUCAAGGCCAGUGGGGGAAUCGAGCCCUGUUUUCUGGAUUCCAGACAAAGGCGCACUCUCAUGUUGCUCAGCAACACUGUAGACUCUCACCAGAUAUUCAGUACCAGGGAGCAGAUUUGUUAAGACCACCACGUUGUCUGAGGGUGAAAUUGUCAGCUCUGCAACGUCCUCCUCCUUCUUCACAGGUGAGUAGCGCACCAAGAAACUGCUCAGCACGAUGGAAGUCGGUGCAGUCCAUGUCACUCUCAUGGUAUCAGGCCCCACAUUAGUGAAGCGGAGAUCAGUGGGAGGAGGCACGGCCGUUUGCUGUGUCAGAGUGGUAGGGGCGCUCUCUCCGCCAUUAAUGAGUGUGAUUACACUGAUGUCGUAAUCAAUGCCCGGCUCCAAGCCUGUCACUGUGUAGUAUCCUACUGAGGAGUCCACAAAAUCUUCAAAAAUAGGGACACUUUCUCCUGCCGCAACUACUGUGAUGCGGUACCCAAUAAUGGUGGAGGCAUUUAACGGGGUCCACCUCAGGCCGAUGCUUGAGUCAGUUAUGUCAACAAAGCUUAGGUCAGUGAGUUGGGGCACCUCUUGCGUGAUGGUUUUGGAGAUGGGGAUGCUCUCCUGGUCAUCUUUGACUGCGUAAACACUGACAUUGUACUCCACACCAGGGUUUAGGUUUUCAAAGGUGCAAGAGGUCUGAUCUGCACCUACUACUUCCUCCAAGGUAGAACCCUGCUGUCCAUUUGUAGGAGCAGUGGUCACUCGGUAGCCACUGAUGCCUGGAGUUGUGCUUCUAUCCCAGGAGACUAUCAGGAUCCCAGUAUCAGGAUUGGGCUCGAGGCGCAGGUUGGUUGGUGGAGACAGUGGUGUAGUCACUCUCCUGAUGAUUGGGGUCUCUCUCUCCUGGCCGUCCAUCAGGACUGUGAGGCUGUAGGUAUACUCCACACCAGGGGUCAGACCAGAUAUCACAAUGCUGCCAGAAUCAGAGAUGACCUCACGGGGAGCCUCUCCACCUUGGCUUGGGCGCACACCAAGCUUGAAACCAAUCCUUGGGGCAGGUGUCCAGGUGAUGACAAUAGAAGUCUCAGUCACUUCUGUGUUAAAAGGAGGAACAGAGCCAACAGGCUGAUACGUUGUGAAGACUCCAGUCUCUCUGGCACUUUGCAAGUCUUCUUUAACUGCCACGAGGUACACUGUGUACUCAGUGCCAGGCUGCAGGUUCCUGAGGAGGUACUUAGUAGCAGAAGGGCCCACAUUGUAUGUCCGUGGCUGACCUCCUCUCGUGGGACCUGCAGUCAGUCGGUAUCCUGAGAUGAUAGCACGGGGCCGUGUCCACAGCACCAGCACAGAGUGCUCUGUGGUAUUGAUGAACCUCAGGUUGGUGGGGGCAUCGAGCUUGGUGGUUUGCUCUCCAGUCAAAGGUUUGCUCUCCCUGCCAUGGCUCACGGCAAAGAUCUUAAAGAGAUAGGUCGUUCCUGGGAGCAGGUCAACAACUUCAGCAAAAGAGCUUCUAGUAAUGGGCAAUCUCUGGCCGUGCUGGCCAGGGCGAUUGACAGGGAUUGCUUCCACCCGAUAGCCAGACACUUGGCUCUGGGGUGGGGUC